UGGAGGUGGGGCUGGAGAGGGGACUGGAGUGCCUGAGUGUGCAAGAGAGUCUUUGUCUUUGUCUUUCUAGCUCCGACCCCAAGGACGGAAAGUUGGAGCAGGAGGUAGCGGGCUGCUGGACCUCCCACUGGGGGUCAAAAUCCCCGUGCAGCCUGGCACCAAGCCUGUCUUUUGGAGGACAAAGCUGGGGGAAAAGCUUCACCAGCCUUCUCCUUAUUUUGAUCUGGGAGAUCCAUACUGUCGCCAUCUGCGCGCAGAAUACAACAGCCUGCAUGACCCAUAUCUGCAGGACUACCACAACCGCAAAGACAACCUGCAGAACCUGAAGAACAGGGGCCUUGUCACUGAGGAUGGCAAAGUUGUCUGCACUCUGAAAGAGUUCAACGAGUACAGGCAGUACCUGACCAGGCUGAAGCUGGAG